rnacentral:rRNA from 1 species
AUGCACAAGAGUACUAUCACCACCAUCCGUUGUGAUGAGGUGGUGGCUGCUGCAGUUGAGGAACAUUUUCAGUGCAGACGACAACAAUUCCCGAUUCAAUACUUGGGCUUACCUCUCUCCAUAUACAGAUUGCGACGUAGCGAGCUGCUUCCUCUCAUUGACAAAGUUUCAGGGAAAAUGAAAGGAUGGAAGCCAAAGAUGCUGGCUGCGGCGGGUCGCCUUACUCUCACUCGUUCGGUUCUUAUGGCCUUGCCAAUUCAUUUGAUGACUGUGCUUCCUAUGCCGGCGUGGGCCAUUAAAAUCAUCAAUAGGCGUUGUCGGGGGUUCAUCUGGAAGGGGGAAGAAGAAAUCAAUGGAGGUCACUGUCUAUUACCUUGG